rnacentral:lncRNA from 1 species
AAGGGCCCGCAGGGCCUCCAGUAGCAAAGCCACUGGCCCCGCGUCCCCGCGUCCCCCUGCGCCGCGCCCCGGGGCGCAGGCAGGGACCACGCGGCCGGCGUGGGGGCGGCGCCACCCGCAGCAGAAAGCCCCGGCGUGGACCGCGUGGCGUAGGAAAGCGCUCCCCUCGCCCCCAGCCGCAGAGGGCUUGGGCAGCAUCGGGCGCGGCCCCGGGAGAGUGCGUCCGCGGCGCCAGCGGCUGCAGGGUGACCUGUUUCGGGCGGGGACACUCACCAGAAGAACACGCGUGAGCAGAGGACCAAACGACGGUGCCAUGGGAGGCUCUUCAACCUGUGAGCCAAACAUUUGACCUUGGACGACAGCAAAGUUUAGCCACAGAUUAUCCUUGUAGAGCUGCAAGACCUCAAGAAAGCCGGGCUAGUCAAGUGAAGCAGUGGGAGUGGAAAAGGAGCAAAGAAAUCUGUAACUGGUUGUGAUUCCAUGAACUUUUUGAAAUCCCCUUGUAUUGGCUUCCUUCCCUCUUCUGUCUUACUUCUCUACUCCCUACAAGUGUUUUCUGGGAUCACCUCCAAAUAAACUACUUGCAAUCUAAUCCUGUCUCAAGUCUGCUG